rnacentral:rRNA from 1 species
GCAGUAGCCGCGGGAAUACGGAGGGUGCAAGCGUUAAUCGGAAUUACUGGGCGUAAAGCGCACGCAGGCGGUCUGACAAGUCAGAUGUGAAAUCCCCGGGCUUAACCUGGGAACUGCAUUUGAAACUGUCAGGCUGGAGUCUUGUAGAGGGGGGUGGAAUUCCAGGUGUAGCGGUGAAAUGCGUAGAGAUCUGGAGGAAUACCGGUGGCGAAGGCGGCCCCCUGGACAAAGACUGACGCUCAGGUGCGAAAGCGUGGGGAGCAAACAGGAUUAGAUACCCGUGUAGUCCCUGUCUCUUAUAC